AUUGAACGCUGGCGGCAGGCCUAACACAUGCAAGUCGAACGAGUGGCGGACGGGUGAGUAAUGUCUGGGAAACUGCCUGAUGUAGGGGGAUAACUACUGGAAACGGUAGCUAAUACCGCAUACCAUCGGAUGUGCCCAGAUGGGAUUAGCUAGUAGGUGGGGUAAAGGCUCACCUAGGCGACGAUCCCUAGCUGGUCUGAGAGGAUGACCAGCCACACGGGAACUGAGACACGGGCCAGACUCCGACGGGAGGCAGCAGUGGGGAAGAUUGCACAAUGGGCGAAAGCCUGAUGCAGCCAUGCCGCGUGUAUGAAGAAGGCCUUCGGGGUGUAAAGUACUUUCAGCGGGGAGGCGUUACCUGCAGAAGAAGCAACGGCUAACUCCGUGCCAGCCGCCGCGGUAAUAC
rnacentral:rRNA from 1 species